AUGAUCCAAUGGAUGCCUUGCCUUGGCGUGCAACCCUGCUCUGCUCAGUGCUCACUCGCGUGGCUGGUUGCGCAUGGGCGGGAUGCUCUGCUCGUUCCGGAAGAAGUUGGUGGGAUCGACGGCGGCCUUCACCUUGGCAAGCUUCUCGUAGUUGCCCAGGAAGUAGCGCUGGCCCCAGAAGCGGGCGUUCUCGGCGGCGCCCAAGCCGUCCUCCUCCUCCAGCGCGUUCUGCCCGAUGUCCAGGUCCCGGAAGUUGACGUACGCCUCCCGCGGGUGCUUCGUCACGUGGUGCGCCAUGAACCCGUAGAACCCGUCCAGCCAGCUCGUCGCCGCCGGCCCGCCGUCCGCGCUCAUCCAGUACGCGAUGUACUGGAUCACGUACAGCACCCCGCGCCGGUGCGGGUAGGGCGUGGCGUCCUCGGGCACGUCGCACAUGUACCCGCCGUGCGGCUCCAGCACGAUCACCCCGGCGCCCUUCAUCGUGAACCAGCUGGCGUAGACCUCCUUCCACACCGCCUUGGGGAUGGCCUGCCGGACGUAGUCCGACUUGCCCUUGCUGAAGGUGCUCGGGCUGGCCGGUCUCGGCAGGAGCACGUCCUCCACCGGCUUGCUGUUGGUGAAGCUGAAGAAGGACAGCGCCGCCGACUGCAGCCACGUCAUGGGCUGGCAGUCGGCGCUCGUCAUGUUCAGCUCCGGGAAGCGGUCGCGCAUCGUCGAGGCCAGCGACCCGCACUCGCCCAGGUACAGCGCACGGAACACGGCCUGCUGCCCCGUCACCAUCACCGUGAUCGUGAGCUCGCUGGGGAGCGCCGGCGCCACGUCCUGCCAUCUCGUGAGGAUGUCGACGGCGCCCUGCUCCAGCGUCUUGGCGAUGUUGAACACCGUCACCGUGGCCGGGACGGGAACGAGCUGCACCUUCCACGACAGCACCACGCCGAAGUUGCCGCCGCCGCCGCCGCGGAUGGCCCAGAACAGGUCCUCCCCCAUGCCGGCCCGGUCGAGGAGCUCCCCGUUGGCGUUCACCAGCUUGGCGUCCACCACCCUGUCGAUGGACAGCCCGUACUUGCGCAUCAUCAUCCCGAUCCCUCCACCGCUGAAGUGCCCUCCCACGCCGAUGGUGGGGCACUCGCCGGACGGGAACGCGAGGCGGGGGUUGUUCUUGGCGACGGCGUAGUAGAGCUCCCCGAUGGUGGCGCCGGACUCGACCCACGCCGUGGACGCCGCCUCGUCGACGCUGACGGCACGGAGCGCCGCGAGGUCGAGCAGGCCGAACACCUCCUGCCGCGCCGACCGGUACGACAGGCCCUCGUAGUCGUGGCCGCCGCUGCGCACGCGGAGGCGCACGCCGUGGCCGCGGCCGCACCGGAUGGCGGCCUGCACGUGCGACGCGUCGGUGGGCGUCACGAUGCACAGCGGCUUGGCCGUGGUGUUGACGAACUUGGCGUUCUUGAUGUAGUUCACCAGCACGCCGGAGAAGCUGCUGGAGCACUGCGUGUACACCAGCUCGCCGGGGAUCUUGUCCCGCACGCACUGCAGGAAGUCGUCGGAGGAGGCCAUGGCCAGGUGGACCGAGAGGAGGAGGCUCGCGAGGAACGCCAGCGCCAGGCCUCUGCCUCUGAGCGUAGCCAUCUUUCGCUUCUUCUCUUUCUGGCAGCUAAGGGAGAGCAGCAGUGGUGUGUGUGUGCCUGA
rnacentral:rRNA from 1 species